AUCCUGUUACUGUCCCUGUGGGCGGGUCACUUAGCCUCUCUGUGCCUCAGUUCCCCACCUGUGAAACAGAGAUUGCAGCACUGCCCUGCAUCACAGGGGAGUAGAGAAGAUACAUGCGUUGAAGAUUGGGAGAAGUUCUGAUACGACAGUGCCUGAGAGUCAGCAGUCCCAGUACAAUGCAGCUGCCGCUGGGGUGGAAGGGAGCAGCGGGCUCACAGCGCCUCUGCACAAGCGUUCAGGACAGGAAGUGAAGGAGAGCCCUGCAUCCAGCGGGAGCUUCAGGCUGGGAGUUAGAUCCUGGUGUCUCCCGCUUGGGUUGUUUGGGGUCAUCAGUCCCCCAAAACUUGGAUGCUUCUGUGAGUCAGCCAAACAUGGCCUGCUGACCUCAGCCCUGCAGCAGAUGCUCUCUGAUUCCAGCUGCUG